rnacentral:rRNA from 1 species
UACGGGGGGGGCAAGCGUUGUUCGGAAUUACUGGGCGUAAAGGGCUCGUAGGUGGCCAACUAAGUCGGACGUGAAAUCCCUCGGCUUAACCAGGGAACUGCGUCCGAUACUGGUUGGCUUGAGUUUGGGAGAGGGAUGCGGAAUUCCAGGUGUAGCGGUGAAAUGCGUAGAUAUCUGGAGGAACACCGGUGGCGAAGGCGGCAUCCUGGACCAAUAUUGACGCUGAGGAGCGAAAGCCAGGGGAGCAAACGGG